UACAGAGGGGGCAAGCGUUGUUCGGAAUUACUGGGCGUAAAGGGCGCGUAGGCGGCCGGGUUGGUCGUGGGUGAAAUCCCCCAGCUUAACUGGGGAACUGCCUACGAUACUGCCUGGCUCGAGGGAGGAAGGGGCGGUCGGAACUGUCGGUGGAGCGGUGAAAUGCGUUGAUAUCGACAGGAACGCCGGUGGCGAAAGCGGACCGCUGGCCCUCUUCUGACGCUGAGGCGCGAAAGCCAGGGGAGCGAACGGG
rnacentral:rRNA from 1 species